GUAGGGAAUAUUGGGCAAUGGUCGGAAGACUGACCCAGCCAUGCCGCGUGCAGGAAGACGGCCCUCUGGGUUGUAAACUGCUUUUAUCUGGGAAGAAAAAGGCCAUGCGUGGCAAAUUGCCGGUACCAGAUGAUUAAGCACCGGCUAACUCCGUGCCAGCAGCCGCGGUAAUACGGAGGGUGCGAGCGUUGUCCGGAUUUAUUGGGUUUAAAGGGUGCGUAGGCGGCUGAUUAAGUCAGCGGUGAAAGACUUCGGCUUAACCGGAGCAGUGCCGUUGAUACUGGUUGGCUUGAGUGUCGGAGGGGUACAUGGAAUUGAUGGUGUAGCGGUGAAAUGCAUAGAUACCAUCAGGAACACCGAUAGCGAAGGCAUUGUACUGGCCGACAACUGACGCUGAUGCACGAAAGUGUGGGGAUCGAACAGGAUUAGAAACCCGGGUAGUCC
rnacentral:rRNA from 1 species